UGAGGAAUAUUGGGCAAUGCCCGCAAGGGUGACCCAGCAACGCCGCGUGGAGGAUGAAUGUCGUAAGAUUGUAAACUCCUGUUAGAGGGGAAGAAUAGUACCGGUUGGACCGGUAUAUGACUGUACCCUCAGAGAAAGCCCCGGCUAACUACGUGCCAGCAGCCGCGGUAAUACGUAGGGGGCAAGCGUUGUCCGGAUUUACUGGGUGUAAAGGGCGCGCAGGCGGGAUAAAAAGUCAGUGGUGAAAUCCUACAGCUUAACUGUAGAACUGCCUUUAAUACUUUUAUUCUUGAGUUCGGGAGAGAGAGACGGAAUUCCAGGUGUAGUGGUGAAAUACGUAGAUAUCUGGAAGAACACCAGUUGCGAAGGCGGUCUCUUGGUCCGACACUGACGCUGAGGCGCGAAAGCGUGGGGAGCAAACA
rnacentral:rRNA from 1 species